rnacentral:rRNA from 1 species
UACGGAGGGUGCAAGCGUUGCUCGGAAUUAUUGGGCGUAAAGGGUAGGUAGGUGGUCUCAUUUGUCUGGGGUGAAAGCCUUGAGCUUAACUCAAGAAGUGCCCCAGAAACGGUGAGACUAGAGUCCUGGAGAGGGUCGUGGAAUUCCCGGUGUAGCGGUGAAAUGCGUAGAGAUCGGGAGGAACACCAGAGGCGAAAGCGGCGACCUGGACAGGAACUGACACUCAACUACGAAAGCGUGGGGAGCAAACAGG